rnacentral:rRNA from 1 species
CUACGGGUUGCUCCAGUGGGGAAUAUUGCACAAUGGGCGCAAGCCUGAUGCAGCCAUGCCGCGUGUAUGAAGAAGGGGUGAGGGUUGUAAAGUACUUUCAGCGGGGAGGAAGGGAGUAAAGUUAAUACCUUUGCUCAUUGACGUUACCCGCAGAAGAAGCACCGGCUAACUCCGUGCCAGCAGCCGCGGUAAUACGGAGGGUGCAAGCGUUAAUCGGAAUGUACUGGGCGUAAAGCGCACGCAGGCGGUUUGUUAAGUCAGAUGUGAAAUCCCCGGGCUCAACCUGGGAACUGCAUCUGAUACUGGCAAGCUUGAGUCUCGUAGAGGGGGGUAGAAUUCCAGGUGUAGCGGUGAAAUGCGUAGAGAUCUGGAGGAAUACCGGUGGCGAAGGCGGCCCCCUGGACGAAGACUGACGCUCAGGUGCGAAAGCGUGGGGAGCAAACAGGAUUAGAUACCCCUGUAGUC